CAUAUACAAACGUUGUACUGACUGGUGGUAUGGAGUGAAAUGACUGGGACGAUAUUUUUACGCUGAAUACUUCCAAUCGCCACGAACAACUCCUGCGGCCAGCUGUCAGAGGAAGGAACCUUGGAUGGGGAUACAUCUGGUAAUCAUUGCACUUUUCAUCCAACCUACACAGCCGCAAAAGUAAUACCUGUCCCGUAAAAAGACGAAUUCGGCUUUCAAACGCAAGCGAUAACGUUCGUUUGGCCGACAUAGCCGUGGAACUGACUGUUUAUUAUGUGACACUAUUUCUCUUCUUAUUAUAAGCAGUCAAGUAAUGGACACCAUUACCUAAUAUCAGGUAAAAUGGGGAGAAGUUUAUUAGAAUCUAGACAGUAUUCGUCCUUAUGAGGCCUUCCUCCGGUCCUCCGUCACAAACGGUAUGCAUCACACUCAAAGAAAACCUCACUUAACAGUCGGCGAUCGCUGGAUUUGGAUCCACAUGGUCACUAGCAAGGGACUAUAUACGGGAAGACUUCAAUAAUUGAAAGAAUGAAAGAAUUAAAGAAGGAAAGAAGAUGGAAAACGAAAAGGGAGUACGAGGCUUGUGACCUUUAUAGUCUAUUGUUGCCAAAAUUAUUGAGAUAAUCAAGGCCAGUGCGGCAAGGGCUCCUGUCUCGUAUUUCAGGUGGUGAAACUCUGUGCCCAAUGCCUUAAAGCCGACUCGCUAACGGAAGAAGGCCACAGCCUGCAGCCCUUCGAGUUGAGCUAGCAGUGUUUCUCAUAGGGAAGGAAAAAGAUUGAUGAGGGAUCGGUUUGUUGUGAAGAAGCGAGGAAAUUUGAAGAGCCCUGCUGGUUUUCUUUCAACAUCUCCUUAUAUAUACAUAGGCGUGCGGUGGAUCAAUUGAUAUUGUCCUGGCUUCGUUAUCGAGUCAGACGACUGUGCACUCAUUUUUUGUACCAUGGUAUCUUCGCUAAAACCGGUAGAAAUGCACCUAUCUUACAACAUCCACUAUCCAUUAUCAUUACUUCCUACUCCUGGUUGUCCUUCCGCUCGCAACGGGAAGGUUCGAACCACCUGCAGUGGUCGCCCUUCUUUUAACAGCUGGCUUUUCCUCCUCCUGGAUAAGUGUCUCGUCAUUCUCCUUUUCAACAGUCUUGCCCUUACGCCUAGUGGGCACAGAUACCUUCUCCUCAGUGGAGGCAGACAACGCAGCGGUGGAGGUUUUAGCACGCGAUGGAGCAGAGACUACACGUCUAGCAGUAGUGGUGGUGGAAGUGGUUGAUGUCGCAGAGGCCGUGGGAAUGGCACGUUUAGCUCGAGCUUUGACACCACCCCUUCAGGCUUCUCUUCAGCUUCCACCGACGCCUUCCUGGUCGAUCUCGCAGAAGUCGAUCUGGAACGUGUACUGGCGACAGCAGGGGCGGGAGGAACUGGAGGCUCUCCGACGACGUUAGGUUUCUCCUCAGGCUCGGCCGUGGACUUGGCACGAGUAGAACGAGACAUGCCUGCUCCAGUGGAUACUUCACUGAUGGGUGCACAACGAGAGCGAGAGGAACGUGAAGUAGGUUCGGGAACAGAAGAUGUCUCGACAACAGCGGAAGGAGCAGCCUUGCGUCGAGAAGGUCUGGAGGUUGAUUCAGAAGUGCUGGCUGUGGCUGAUGCAGUGCUGCGAAUUGCGGUGCGAGUGAUGUUGGCGCGAGUAAUCUUUGCAGGAGCAGGAAUUUGCUCUUCGUUUGCAGCAGCUCGUCUGGUUCUUGUGCCGGUCGACCCAGCAAGCCUCGGCAAUUUGGUUGAAACUACUUUACCUUUACCCUUCUCUUCGAUCUCAUCUUGCUCCUGCACUUGUUUCGAUGCAACAUCGUCACUUUCCUUUUCCUCUUCCAACGCACCGACCAGCUCUUCAACUCCUUCCUCCUCCUUCUGCUCCUCUUCUUCCUCGUACAUCUCCUUUAGGCCGUCCAUAUUGGGCGUUUCCGAGACUUUGAGUUCUCCAAACAACCUCUUGACCCCCACCAUGUUGGGCGUAGCAGCAACUUUCUUCUCCGUAAACAUGGUUUUCAACCCCGUGAAGUCUGGCGUUUGUUGCGUUUCUUUAGCCGGCGACGUGGCGCCUUCCACGGCUACUGGAGAGUUGGAAAUCUUGGCGGGACUCAUUCGAGCUUGUCCGCUAUCUAAACGAGUGGGUGUCCUCGAAGGACUGGGAAAGUUGAGCAUGCGAGAAGAAGUACCAGAAGGUGUAAAAGGAUCAGUCUUAGGAGCCGUAUUGAAUUGAGGAGCGGGGGAAGGAGCGGCGUGAACAUGGGAUGCCGGGGUAGGGCUCUCAAUCUUCUCAUCAACAUCCAUAGAAUCAGGCGACGCAAUAGUUUCCAUAGGCUCGCGUUUCAACAAAGGGAAGAUUGGUGUCCUGGGAACCUGGCCUGACCUUCUAGUAGGUGCAACAGUGUAAGAAGCACUGUGGCCCAAUGCAGGUCUUUGCACUGGAGUACCAGGAAGUACAAAUCCUACAGUCGAUCUUCUCUCAGUAGGGCGAGUAGAGCUACGUUGUACGCUUUGCCUUCGCAUCUGAUUAAGACGCUUUUUGAGAUCAUCCAAGGGAGUGCUUGGAACUUUGGUCUUCUCAUCGGGUUUUUGAUCGUCUUCAGAUUCGGGCUCGGGGGUUCGAGGUGCAAGAGCUGGAUGCAAUGGGGUUGAUAGGAGAUUUGUGAAGCGGGAUUCGGGGACGGGAUUUUUGAACCCGCUUGCAGGAGGGAGAGGAAGGGUGCGAGGAGUAGCGAGAGCAUCGUGGAGUCGUUUCGUCUGAUUUCAGAGUAUUCAUCAGUACUGGAAACUUGUUCAAAUAAUUUAUCACUUACUUCUGCAAUAGCUGCAGCCGAUCUCCUGGGAGUGGCCAUUGGCUUUCUCUCCUCCUCCACUUCCUGAACCUCUUCCUCCUCUUCCUGAACCUCGUCCUCCUCUUCCUGAACCUCGUCCUCCUCUUCCUGAACCUCGUCCUCCUCUUCCUGAACCUCUUCUUCCUCUUCCCUUUCCUCCUUCAUCGCGUUAAGAUCAAGCCGCCUGCUAGGUUUCCCAAGAGAUCCAGGGGUGCGCGUAGAGGCAAAUGUCCCAAGCGAGUUUGGUGUCAUCGGAAGACGAACGGGAGGACCAAGUGAUCGACGAAUUUGACCAAAAGCCGUACUUCGAGAGACUUGUGGGGUUAGGAACUUGUUGGUCAAAGUGUAGCUGGCAGGAAGGUCGGCGUGUCGUCUUGUUCAUCCUCGUCCUCAACCUCGCCCUCAGUGCGUUCGACAUUCCCUGCAGUUUCGACCCCCUCGCUUUGUAUAUCCUCAUUAUCCGAUCCUUGAACCUGCACCUCGUACUCCUCGUACUCGUCAUACUCGGCUUUCAAAUCUACUUCCUUUUCCUCUUCGCGGUGGGGGUUGUUUAAAUAUUCUUCCUCUUCUUCCGUGCGGAUGUCAAGCUGCAUCACACUCUGUCCAGGCUUAAUAACGGCUAUUAGUACAUACCUUCAACAUAAGUGCAAUUGACUUACAAUGUCAAGAGAGACAUCAGCAUCGAAGGAAUCCAUAUUGCUCGAUUCAGAGUCAAAUGAUAUUUCUGCUUGGCCGUCUUCAUACACCCAUUCAAGUUGGUUUUCGCCGGUUUCAUUGUUUGGCAGUUCAGGCUCAGCACCAGCGUCCAUUCCGACAUCAUUAUCGAUUACAGCCUCUUGGGGAUUGAUUUCCUGUGGGCUGCUACUUUUCCUGCCGCCUCUGGGACUGGUACUCUUCCUUCUGUUGGUUUCCACAAAGCCAUCUUGUAUGGCUCCAUCAACGCCAGUAGCAUGCGUUUCUUGCCAAACCUUUCGCGCAGAACGGAGGAGCAAGGCCUUUCGGAGAGUGGCUGGGCCUUUUGGCGUGGAAAGAGCUACGUGCGCAGGAACAGGAACGGGGGUAAUUGGGAAUGAUUGUGGGUUUUGGUGAGGGCUUGAUGGUGGUGGAGUAGAUGAUUUGUCAAGAGCUGGUUUGUCGGCAGAGUCUUCGGUUGUUUCUGGAGAAAGCUUGCGAGUACGAGGGACAGCGCUGGUGUUACGAAGCGGAACUUUGCCCUUCUGUUGAGGUGUCAAGAAUGGGUUACUGUCAAUUGAGGAAGCCUAAAGUUUCGAUGAUUAGCAGGUGAAUCAAUAACCUUUCAGCGGACGUACUGGUUCAGGGUUUCUUUCUUCCUUUUCUUCAACUUCUUCAGCGAUUUCAAGGUAAAUUUUAUCGCCAUCUUCUCCCUCAGCCACCCCAAUGACCGACUGGUCGACAUCCCCCUCUCCCUCCUCCAUCAUCACUUCCUGACCCAGCUGGGAUUUGUUCGACCCCAUUUUCAUAUUACCCAACCCCAGAGUGCUGUGUCUCCUGUUCCUGGCUGGAGAGCAAGGGUGGAAAAUCUUGUCCGCGGGGACGAGAGACAUCCUAUGAGAUGCCCUUUUCCUUAUGGUGUUUGGUACGGGGGAAAAGGAAACGGUCGGUCUUCGUCUAACGGGCGUAUCAGGUGCCGGGGAAUCGGGCUGAAUAGAUUGAGGAACUGGAGACAUAAACUCUGCUGCAGCGCCAGCAUCUUCCAUAGGUCCAUAGUUGAACCUGAAAAGCUUUUUCCUGAUGAUGAUACAAUCGUUUUCGGCAAG
rnacentral:sRNA from 1 species